ACUGAUUUUGCAGAAUCAGAUUUAUAAGGCUUGACUACAUGUGACUAUCCUGGGAACUACAUCUACAUUUAACUUGAUGGAUCUAGCAGUGAAGCUUUGUAUAGGGGUCUAUUCUCAUCGCAGUUACUGCAUUUAUGACUUCAUCCCCAAGGGAGGAUUCAUGAGCCAAGAGAUGCAUGAUUUUUCCACUCUAUAUAUACACCUGCUGUGAACUGCAGUCUGGUAAGCCAAUUUUCUGUCACC